rnacentral:rRNA from 1 species
UGCGUAGGCUGUGCAGAAAGUUGGGUGUGAAAUCCCUCGGCUCAACCGAGGAAUUGCAUUCAAAACUACUGUGCUAGAGGAAUAUAGAGGUAAGCGGAACUUAGGGUGGAGCGGUGAAAUGCGUUGAUAUCCUAAGGAACACCGGUGGCGAAAGCGGCUUACUGGGUAUUUUCUGACGCUGAUGCACGAAAGCUGGGUAGCAACG